GGAAGGAUCAUUCUUGAUAAUGUAGCUUUGCUAUAUUACUUAUGUGAACUGUUAUUGCCAUUUGGCGAUCGAAAGGUCGUCGGUGGCCCUAUUUAAUAUUUACCCUUAAUGUAUUUAAUGUACCAGUAAUCAUAAUUUUUAUGACAACUUUUAGCAAUGGAUCUCUAGGCUCUCGCAUCGAUGAAGAACGCAGCAAACUGCGAAAUGUAGUGUGAAUUGCAGACCGUGAAUCAUCGAAUCUUUGAACGCACAUUGCACUGUCUGGAAUCCCGGACAGUAUAUCUGUUUGAGCAUCGUUUCAAUCUCAUUCCCAAGAAGUAUGAAAAUACUACUUGUGGGAUGGAAAUGGAGGUUUGUGGAGUCAUCUGCAUCCUCUUAAAUGUAAUUUUACAUUCGACUAGAUCAGUCCGAAAGGAACUCUUGUUGAAAGUACCAUUGAUAAGGACUUGUGCCUUGAAUUACGAUCUCAAAUCAGAUAAGACUACCCGCUGAACUUAAAGCCAUAUUAAUAAGCGGAGGAAAAGAAACUAACUAGGAUUCCUUCAGUAACGGCGAGUGAAGAAGGAACAGCUCAAAUUUGUAAUCUCUUCGGAGAGUUGUAAUUUGAAGAAGUAUUUUCGUUAACGUACUGGGCCAAAGUCCUUUGGGACGAGGCAUCAUAGAGGGUGAGAAUCCCGUACAUGGACCAGUAUUGUUGCAUAUGUUUAUACUUCGAAGAGUCGGGUUGUUUGGGACUGCAGCCCUAAGUGGGUGGUAUAUUCCAUCUAAAGCUAAAUACAGGCGAGAGACCGAUAGCGAACAAGUACUGUGAAGGAAAGAUGAAAAGAACUUUGAAAAGAGAGUUAAAUAGUACGUGAAAUUGCUAAAAGGGAAACGCUUAAAACUAGUGAGAUGUGUCAAGUUCAACUGUGCGUUUCGCAUGGUGUAAACUUGACAUGUUUAGUCAAAGUAUGUUUUUCGGGGAACUAAACGGCAUGGAAUGUAGCUCUCUGAGUUUUAUAGCCUAGCUGUAUACUUCCUGAAGGACAAUCUUUGACGAAAUAGUUUUAAACGACCCGUCUUGAAACACGGACCAAGGAGUCUAACAAUUAUGCGAGUAUUUGAGUGUCAAACUCGAAUGCGUAAUGAAAGUGAAUGCAGGUGGGAUACUUGCACCAUCGACCGAUCCGGAUUUUUAAUGAUAGAUUUGAGUAUGAGCAUAGCUGUUGGGACCCGAAAGAUGGUGAACUAUGCCUGAAUAGAGCGAAGCCAGAGGAAACUCUGGUGGAGGCUCGUAGCGGUUCUGACGUGCAAAUCGAUCGUCAAAUUUGGGUAUAGGGGCGAAAGACUAAUCGAACCAUCUAGUAGCUGGUUUCCUC
rnacentral:misc_RNA from 1 species